GACAGCAGUAGCCGCGGUAAUACAGAGGGUGCGAGCUUUAAUCGGAUUUACUGGGCGUAAAGCGUGCGUAGGCGGCUUCUUAAGUCGGAUGUGAAAUCCCUGAGCUUAACUUAGGAAUUGCAUUCGAUACUGGGAAGCUAGAGUAUGGGAGAGGAUGGUAGAAUUCCAGGUGUAGCGGUGAAAUGCGUAGAGAUCUGGAGGAAUACCGAUGGCGAAGGCAGCCAUCUGGCCUAAUACUGACGCUGAGGUACGAAAGCAUGGGGAGCAAACAGGAUUAGAUACCCGGGUAGUCCCUGUCUCUUAUAA
rnacentral:rRNA from 1 species